rnacentral:rRNA from 1 species
GAACGCUGGCGGCAGGCCUAACACAUGCAAGUCGAGCGGAUGACGGGAGCUUGCUCCUUGAUUCAGCGGCGGACGGGUGAGUAAUGCCUAGGAAUCUGCUUGGUAGUGGGGGACAACGUUUCGAAAGGAACGCUAAUACCGCAUACCUUCCUACGGGAGAAAGCAGGGGACCUUCGGGCCUUGCGCUAUCAGAUGAGCCUAGGUCGGAUUAGCUAGUUGGUGGGGUAAUGGCUCACCAAGGCGACGAUCCGUAACUGGUCUGAGAGGAUGAUCAGUCACACUGGAACUGAGACACGGUCCAGACUCCUACGGGAGGCAGCAGUGGGGAAUAUUGGACAAUGGGCGAAAGCCUGAUCCAGCCAUGCCGCGUGUGUGAAGAAGGUCUUCGGAUUGUAAAGCACUUUAAGUUGGGAGGAAGGGCAGUAAGCUAAUACCUUGCUGUUUUGACGUUACCGACAGAAUAAGCACCGGCUAACUCUGUGCCAGCAGCCGCGGUAAUACAGAGGGUGCAAGCGUUAAUCGGAAUUACUGGGCGUAAAGCGCGCGUAGGUGGUUUGUUAAGUUGGAUGUGAAAGCCCCGGGCUCAACCUGGGAACUGCAUCCAAAACUGGCAAGCUAGAGUACGGUAGAGGGUGGGUGGAAUUUCCUGUGUAGCGGUGAAAUGCGUAGAUAUAGGAAGGAACACCAGUGGCGAAGGCGACCACCUGGACUGAUACUGACACUGAGGUGCGAAAGCGUGGGGAGCAAA